rnacentral:rRNA from 1 species
CAGUCGCCGCGGUAAUACGAAGGGGGCUAGCGCUGCUCGGAUUUACUGGGCGUAAAGGGCGCGUAGGCGGACAGUUAAGUCGGGGGUGAAAGCCCGGGGCUCAACCUCGGAAUUGCCUUCGAAACUGGCUGUCUUGAGUACGGGAGAGGUGAGUGGAACUCCGAGUGUAGAGGUGAAAUUCGUAGAUAUUCGGAAGAACACCAGUGGCGAAGGCGACUCACUGGCCCGUUACUGACGCUGAGGCGCGAAAGCGUGGGGAGCAAACAGGAUUAGAUACCCCCGUAGUCCUGUCUCUUAUACA